CCUACGGGAGGCAGCAGUGCGGAAUAUUGCACAAUGGGGGGAACCCUGAUGCAGCGACGCCGCGUGAGUGAAGAAGUAUUUCGUUAUGUAAAGCUCUAUCAGCGGGGAAGAAAAUGACGGUACCUGAGUAAGAAGCCCCGGCUAACUACGUGCCAGCAGCCGCGGUAAUACGUAGGGGGCAAGCGUUAUCCGGAUUUACUGGGUGUAAAGGGAGCGUAGACGGCAGUGCAAGUCUGGAGUGAAAGGCGGGGGCGCAACCCCCGGACUGCUCUGGAAACUGUACGGCUGGAGUGCAGGAGAGGUAAGUGGAAUUCCUAGUGUAGCGGUGAAAUGCGUAGAUAUUAGGAGGAACACCAGUGGCGAAGGCGGCUUACUGGACUGUAACUGACGUUGAGGCUCGAAAGCGUGGGGAGCAAACAGGAUUAGAUACCCCAGUAGUC
rnacentral:rRNA from 1 species